GAUGAAGAACGUAGCGAAAUGCGAUAAGUAAUGUGAAUUGCAGAAUUCAGUGAAUCAUCGAAUCUUUGAACGCACAUUGCGCCCGCUAGUAUUCUGGCGGGCAUGCCUGUCCGAGCGUCAUUUCAACCCUCAAGCCCCCGGGCUUGGUGUUGGGGAUCGGCGAGCCUCCGCGCCCGCCGUCCCCUAAAUCUAGUGGCGGUCUCGCUGUAGCUUCCUCUGCGUAGUAGCACACCUCGCACUGGGAAACAGCGCGGCCACGCCGUUAAACCCCCAACUUCUGAACGUUUGACCUCGGAUCAGGUAGGAAUACUCGCUGAACUUAAGCAUAUCAAUAAGCGGAGGA
rnacentral:misc_RNA from 1 species